rnacentral:rRNA from 1 species
CGCUAGCUACAGGCUUAACACAUGCAAGUCGAGGGGCAGCAUUUUAGUUUGCUUGCAAACUGAAGAUGGCGACCGGCGCACGGGUGAGUAACACGUAUCCAACCUGCCGAUAACUCCGGAAUAGCCUUUCGAAAGAAAGAUUAAUACCGGAUAGCAUACGAAUAUCGCAUGAUAUUUUUAUUAAAGAAUUUCGGUUAUCGAUGGGGAUGCGUUCCAUUAGUUUGUUGGCGGGGUAACGGCCCACCAAGACAACGAUGGAUAGGGGUUCUGAGAGGAAGGUCCCCCACAUUGGAACUGAGACACGGUCCAAACUCCUACGGGAGGCAGCAGUGAGGAAUAUUGGUCAAUGGGCGAGAGCCUGAACCAGCCAAGUAGCGUGAAGGAUGAAGGCUCUAUGGGUCGUAAACUUCUUUUAUAUGGGAAUAAAGUUUUCCACGUGUGGAAUUUUGUAUGUACCAUAUGAAUAAGGAUCGGCUAACUCCGUGCCAGCAGCCGCGGUAAUACGGAGGAUCCGAGCGUUAUCCGGAUUUAUUGGGUUUAAAGGGAGCGUAGGUGGAUUGUUAAGUCAGUUGUGAAAGUUUGCGGCUCAACCGUAAAAUUGCAGUUGAAACUGGCAGUCUUGAGUACAGUAGAGGUGGGCGGAAUUCGUGGUGUAGCGGUGAAAUGCUUAGAUAUCACGAAGAACUCCGAUUGCGAAGGCAGCUCACUAGACUGUCACUGACACUGAUGCUCGAAAGUGUGGGUAUCAAACAGGAUUAGAUACCCUGGUAGUCCACACAGUAAACGAUGAAUACUCGCUGUUUGCGAUAUACAGUAAGCGGCCAAGCGAAAGCAUUAAGUAUUCCACCUGGGGAGUACGCCGGCAACGGUGAAACUCAAAGGAAUUGACGGGGGCCCGCACAAGCGGAGGAACAUGUGGUUUAAUUCGAUGAUACGCGAGGAACCUUACCCGGGCUUAAAUUGCAACAGAAUAUAUUGGAAACAGUAUAGCCGUAAGGCUGUUGUGAAGGUGCUGCAUGGUCGUCGUCAGCUCGUGCCGUGAGGUGUCGGCUUAAGUGCCAUAACGAGCGCAACCCUUAUCUUUAGUUACUAACAGGUGAUGCUGAGGACUCUAGAGAGACUGCCGUCGUAAGAUGUGAGGAAGGUGGGGAUGACGUCAAAUCAGCACGGCCCUUACGUCCGGGGCUACACACGUGUUACAAUGGGGGGUACAGAAGGCGGCUACCUGGUGACGGGAUGCUAAUCCCAAAAACCUCUCUCAGCUCGGAUCGAAGUCUGCAACCCGACUUCGUGAAGCUGGAUUCGCUAGUAAUCGCGCAUCAGCCAUGGCGCGGUGAAUACGUUCCCGGGCCUUGUACACACCGCCCGUCAAGCCAUGAAAGCCGGGGGUACCUGAAGUACGUAACCGCAAGGAGCGUCCUAGGGUAAAACUGGUAAUUGGGGC